GACGAACGCUGGCGGCGUGCUUAACACAUGCAAGUCGUACGGUAAGGCCCUUUCGGGGGUACACGAGUGGCGAACGGGUGAGUAACACGUGAGUAACCUGCCCACAACUUUGGGAUAACUCUAGGAAACUGGUGCUAAUACUGGAUAUGUGCUCCUGCUGCAUGGUGGGGGUGGGAAAGCUCCGGCGGUUGUGGAUGGACUCGCGGCCUAUCAGCUUGUUGGUGGGGUAGUGGCCUACCAAGGCGGCGACGGGUAGCCGGCCUGAGAGGGUGACCGGCCACCUUGGGGCUGAGAUACGGCCCAGACUCCUACGGGAGGCAGCAGUGGGGAAUAUUGCAAAAUGGGCGCAAGCCUGAUGCAGCAACGCCGCGUGCGGGAUGACGGCCUUCGGGUUGUAAACCGCUUUCAGCAGGGACGAAGCUUUUUGUGACGGUACCUGCAGAAGAAGCACCGGCUAACUACGUG
rnacentral:rRNA from 1 species